UGGAAGGACAGCUUGAAGUAAUAUGUGGGAACAAAACACAAGAAAGGUCCAUCCUUCCUGAGGAAUGAACAUUGCCCGAGGAUGAACGCUCACCACCUCCUCCUCCUUUCCUGUGGGAACCAAGCACAGACCCCUGAGGAACACCUCCGCAAAUCAUCCCUUCACUGCAAAAGAGAGCCUGCACAGAGAGACUCAGAAACACCGACAGUGAGCGACUGGGAGCAAGAAGGAGAGCUAACUGACUUAAUGAGGAGUUGAGUUUUGAAGCCGCAACGCCCCAUUUAGAGACAAAUCAAAAUCCAAUCAGGAUCCGUUUAUCACUGCACUCUCUGCUUUGAGGAGCUGGACUGAAGUGCUGACCUUAGUGCACGAGAAAUUAUGGGUAACCAUCAUAUCCCACGUCAGCGUGAUAAAAACUGGUCAUCACCACUACAGCAGCACAAAAUGUAGCCUCACAUACAUACAUUCACAUACUUGUGGUACACUGUAAUCAGUUGUGAUUAGGGGAUCACCUCUCACGUCAAGACACAAAGCAAUAACUAAUAUGGGGAUGGCAGAGAGAGAAGGAAGGAUACUGAUGGAGGGCAAGAAGAGAUAAUAUGAGGGAUGUAGCAGAGGGAGAAGAGGAUUUGAUGACAAGGACCUUUGGGUGAGUGAGGAGCAGAGGUGCUGAUGUUAGCACCUAUGAAUCACUAACAGACAAUGACAGAGAAAGGAAGAUAGAAACACAGAGAGAGCAAAGGGCAUAAAUAGAGCUGUAAGGCUGAGUGUGGCACCGCUGGCUGUGAUUGACAGCAGAGUCGACCUGGCUUUGCCAACAGAUGGAUAGACUUGUUUGGAUGUUUUAUUCAUCUGCAGAAGUGAAAUUUUGUUUUGGUCACACCAGCUAAUCCGCUACCCCUGGAGCAGACAAGUAUUAAACUGAAGCCUUCCAGAUAAGCAAUGCCCUCACAAGACCAAGCUUUAAUUAAGAAGCUGAUCAUUUGUCAAGUGGUGCCUGUGCAAUGACAGCCACAAACCCAUGACAUCAUGGCUGGAUGAAGUAAGAGUUUGGUGUAUGGAUGAUGGGAAAAUCUGUUCACUCCACUGCUCCAUAAAGUAAUUCU